UAGGACCCUUUUAAAAUGCCACUUGCAGGC
rnacentral:piRNA from 1 species